rnacentral:rRNA from 1 species
CCCUUAGAUGUCCUGGGCUGCACGCGCGCUACACUGGAAGUUACGGAUUGAGAUACUACCUUGUCCGAAAUGGUCCGGGUAAUCACCUAAAAGCUUGUCAUAAUUGGAAUGGAUUAUUGUAACUAGUAAUCCUGAACGAGGAAUUCCUAGUAAGUCCCAGUCAACAGCUGGUACUGAUUACGUCCCUGCCCUUUGUACACACCGCCCGUCGCUACUACUGAUUGGACGUUUAAGCAAGAUUUUUAAACACUGACAGUGUGUAGUUCACGCUAUACUACAGUGAGAAGAAGAAGAUCGAGCUUACUUGUCUAGAGGAAGAAAAAGUCGUAACA